rnacentral:rRNA from 1 species
GAUGGACGCUGGCGGCGUGCCUAAUACAUGCAAGUAGAGCGAACAGACGAGGAGCUUGCUCCUCUGACGUUAGCGGCGGACGGGUGAGUAACACGUGGAUAACCUACCUAUAAGACUGGGAUAACUUCGGGAAACCGGCUCUAAUACCGGAUAAUAUAUUGAACCGCAUGGUUCAAUAGUGAAAUACGGUUUUGCUGUCACUUAUUGAUGGAUCCGCGUCGAAUUAGCUAGUUGGUAAGGUAACGGCUUACCAAGGCAACGAUGCGUCGCCGACCUGAGAGGGUGAUCGGCAACACUGGAACGGAGACACGGUCCAGACUCCUACGGGAGGCAGCAGUAGGGAAUCUUCGGCAAGGGGCGAAAGCCUGACGGAGCAAGGCCGCGUGAGGGAUGAAGGUCUUCGGAUCGUAAAACUCUGUUAUUAGGGAAGAACAAAUGUGUAAGUAAAUAUGCACGUCGUGACGGUACCUAAUCAGAAAGCCACGGCUAACUACGUG